rnacentral:lncRNA from 1 species
UAGCAACAAAACAAUAAAGAGAAUAUGCCAAAAAUUAGAUAAAGCUGAUUCAAAAUCUGAUCUGGAUCUACAUUGGGAAACGGGGGAGAAAGUAUUAGAAAAAGUUGAUUAAAAAUACGAUCUGGAUCGACAUCUGAAAACGGGACAGGAAGUUUUUUGUGAUCUAGCUACACAGUCUGAUGUUCAUCAUUUGAUUCAAAAUACCACAUGUUAUGUAAUACUUAAUAAUUAGUAUUACAGAAUGAAACUGAAGCUUCCCAAAGACAAUAAUGUAAGCUUGUUUUUAAAU